AAAUUGAAGAGUUUGAUCAUGGCUCAGAUUGAACGCUGGCGGCAGGCCUAACACAUGCAAGUCGAACGGUAACAGGAAGCAGCUUGCUGCUUUGCUGACGAGUGGCGGACGGGUGAGUAAUGUCUGGGAAACUGCCUGAUGGAGGGGGAUAACUACUGGAAACGGUGGCUAAUACCGCAUAACGUCGCAAGACCAAAGAGGGGGACCUUCGGGCCUCUUGCCAUCAGAUGUGCCCAGAUGGGAUUAGCUUGUUGGUGAGGUAACGGCUCACCAAGGCGACGAUCCCUAGCUGGUCUGAGAGGAUGACCAGCCACACUGGAACUGAGACACGGUCCAGACUCCUACGGGAGGCAGCAGUGGGGAAUAUUGCACAAUGGGCGCAAGCCUGAUGCAGCCAUGCCGCGUGUAUGAAGAAGGCCUUCGGGUUGUAAAGUACUUUCAGCGGGGAGGAAGGUGUUGUGGUUAAUAACCACAGCAAUUGACGUUACCCGCAGAAGAAGCACCGGCUAACUCCGUGCCAGCAGCCGCGGUAAUACGGAGGGUGCAAGCGUUAAUCGGAAUUACUGGGCGUAAAGCGCACGCAGGCGGUCUGUCAAGUCGGAUGUGAAAUCCCCGGGCUCAACCUGGGAACUGCAUUCGAAACUGGCAGGCUUGAGUCUUGUAGAGGGGGGUAGAAUUCCAGGUGUAGCGGUGAAAUGCGUAGAGAUCUGGAGGAAUACCGGUGGCGAAGGCGGCCCCCUGGACAAAGACUGACGCUCAGGUGCGAAAGCGUGGGGAGCAAACAGGAUUAGAUACCCUGGUAGUCCACGCCGUAAACGAUGUCUACUUGGAGGUUGUGCCCUUGAGGCGUGGCUUCCGGAGCUAACGCGUUAAGUAGACCGCCUGGGGAGUACGGCCGCAAGGUUAAAACUCAAAUGAAUUGACGGGGGCCCGCACAAGCGGUGGAGCAUGUGGUUUAAUUCGAUGCAACGCGAAGAACCUUACCUGGUCUUGACAUCCACGGAAGUUUUCAGAGAUGAGAAUGUGCCUUCGGGAACCGUGAGACAGGUGCUGCAUGGCUGUCGUCAGCUCGUGUUGUGAAAUGUUGGGUUAAGUCCCGCAACGAGCGCAACCCUUAUCCUUUGUUGCCAGCGGUUAGGCCGGGAACUCAAAGGAGACUGCCAGUGAUAAACUGGAGGAAGGUGGGGAUGACGUCAAGUCAUCAUGGCCCUUACGACCAGGGCUACACACGUGCUACAAUGGCGCAUACAAAGAGAAGCGACCUCGCGAGAGCAAGCGGACCUCAUAAAGUGCGUCGUAGUCCGGAUUGGAGUCUGCAACUCGACUCCAUGAAGUCGGAAUCGCUAGUAAUCGUGGAUCAGAAUGCCACGGUGAAUACGUUCCCGGGCCUUGUACACACCGCCCGUCACACCAUGGGAGUGGGUUGCAAAAGAAGUAGGUAGCUUAACCUUCGGGAGGGCGCUUACCACUUUGUGAUUCAUGACUGGGGUGAAGUCGUAACAAGGUAACCGUAGGGGAACCUGCGGUUGGAUCACCUCCUUACCUUAAAG
rnacentral:rRNA from 4 species